CGGGCGUCUUAACAUGCAAGUCGAACGAUUAAAGCACCUUCGGGUGUGUAUAAAGUGGCGAACGGCUGAGUAACACGUGGGCAACCUGCCCCUCUCAUUGGGAUAGCCACGGGAAACCGUGGAUAAUACCGAAUACUUCGAGUCUCUCGCAUGGAAGACUCGAGAAAGCUCCGGCGGAGAGGGAUGGGCCCGCGGCCUGUUAGCUUGUUGGUGGGGUAACGGCCUACCAAGGCAAUGAUGGGUAGCUGGGUUGAGAGACCGACCAGCCAGAUUGGGACUGAGACACGGCCCAGACUCCUACGGGAGGCAGCAGUGGGGAAUCUUGCACAAUGGGCGAAAGCCUGAUGCAGCGACGCCGCGUGCGGGAUGAAGGCCUUCGGGUUGUAAACCGCUUUCAGCGGGACGAGGCGAAAGUGACGGUACCUGCAGAAGAAGCCCGGCUAAAC
rnacentral:rRNA from 2 species